rnacentral:rRNA from 1 species
ACACGCAUGACACACUGCAUAUCAAUAAGCGGAGGAAAAGAAACUAACAAGGAUUCCCUUAGUAACGGCGAGUGAAGCGGGAAGAGCUCAAAUUUGAAAUCUUCAAGGUUCUACCUUGACGAAUUGUAGUUUAAUAGAAGUGUUUUCUGUUAGUAGAGUUGGCUAAAAGUUCUUUGGAAUAGGACAUCAUAGAGGGUGAGAAUCCCGUAUUUGACCAUUAUUUUCCAGCUGUGUGAUACACUUUCAAAGAGUCGGAUUGUUUGGGAAUGCAGUCCAAAAUGGGUGGUAAAUUUCAUCUAAAGCUAAAUAUUGGCGAGAGACCGAUAGCGAACAAGUACCGUGAGGGAAAGAUGAAAAGAACUUUGAAAAGAGAGUUAAACAGUACGUGAAAUUGUCAGAAGGGAAGCGUUUGACACCAGUGUUGUUUUCUCGAAAAUCAAUUAAAAAUGGUGGGAUUUUGUGUUGUAUUGACUUUAUCAGCUUUCUGCACUUUUUUCCUAUCUUUUUUAAUGCACUUUUCGUUUAACAAGUCAACAUCAAUUUCUUUUGCUGUAAAAGAGUCAUUGGAAGGUGGCUUUCUUUUCGGAGAAAGUGUUUAUAGCCUUUGACUUCUGCAGUCGGAGAGAUUGAGGUCUGCAGCGUAGAUCCUUCGGGGUUAGAUACAUUUGUGCUAAGCUAUAGCCUUUCAUAGACAACUUGUUGACUAUGAUCAGUCAUGUAGCUUACUCGCUUAUGCUAUUUUACCUACGCUUAGGAUGUUGAGCGCAUGUCUCUCUCU